AUAUGAAACACCUGGGGACCUUAUUAGAAUGCAGAUUCUGACUUAGUAACUGGCCUGUGUUGAGGCCCAAGAGUCUGCAUUUCUAACAACUCCCAGGAGAUGCUAAU
rnacentral:pre_miRNA from 1 species